GCGUGCUUAACACAUGCAAGUCGAACGAUGAAGCCCAGCUUGCUGGGUGGAUUAGUGGCGAACGGGUGAGUAACACGUGAGUAACCUGCCCUUAACUCUGGGAUAAGCCUGGGAAACUGGGUCUAAUACCGGAUAGGAGCGCCCACCGCAUGGUGGGUGUUGGAAAGAUUUAUCGGUUUUGGAUGGACUCGCGGCCUAUCAGCUUGUUGGUGAGGUAAUGGCUCACCAAGGCGACGACGGGUAGCCGGCCUGAGAGGGUGACCGGCCACACUGGGACUGAGACACGGCCCAGACUCCUACGGGAGGCAGCAGUGGGGAAUAUUGCACAAUGGGCGCAAGCCUGAUGCAGCGACGCCGCGUGAGGGAUGACGGCCUUCGGGUUGUAAACCUCUUUCAGUAGGGAAGAAGCGAAAGUGACGGUACCUGCAGAAGAAGCACCGGCUAACUACG
rnacentral:rRNA from 1 species